GAAUUUAAUAUAAGUUUUUAGUUAUAUAUUUAAAUAUUUUAAAAAUUUUAUAUUUUAUUGGGGGGAUAAUAAAAUUUAAUAAACUUUUAUAUUAUAUUUUUAUAUUUAAAUAUUUUUAAUUUAAACAUAAAUUAAUGAAUUUUUAGAAUAAAUAAGUAUUUUAUUUAAAAUUAGAAUUAAUUACCUUAGGGAUAACAGCGUUAUAAUUUUUUAAAGAUCUAAUUGAAAGAAAUGAUUGC
rnacentral:rRNA from 1 species